ensembl:lncRNA
GUGAUGUGGUGCAUAGCUGGGUGGUGUAGGUGAGUGUGUGUGUGUGAGUGUGUGUGUGAUGUGGUGCAUAGCUGGGUGGUCUGUGUGUGUGUGUGUGUGUGUGUGUGUGUGAUGUGGUGCAUAGCUGGGUGGUGUAGGUGUGUGUGUGUUACUGUGUGUGUGAUGUGGUGCAUAGCUGGGUGGUGUGUGUGUGUUUGUGUGUGUGUGAGUGUGUAUGUGUGAGUGUGUAUGUGUGAGUGUGUGUGUGAUGUGGUGCAUAGCUGGGUGGUGUAGAUGUGUGUGUGUGAGUGUGUGUGUGUGUGAGCUUGAGUGUGAGUGUGUGUGUGAUGUGGUGCAUAGCUGGGUGGUGUAGGUGUGUGAGUGUGUGUGUGAUGUGGUGCAUAGCUGGGUGGUGUAGGUGUGUGUGUGUGUGAGCUUGUGUGUGUGUGUGAGUGUGUGAUGUGGUGCAUAGCUGGGUGGUGUAGGUGUGUGUGUGUGUGAUGUGGUGCAUAGCUGGGUGGUGUAGGUGUGUGUGUGUGUGUGUGUGUGUGUGAUGUGGUGCAUAGCUGGGUGGUGUAGGUGUGUGUGUGUGUG